CUCUUCUGGUCUGUCAUAGUUUUUCUCCUCCAUCUCACAUGUGCACAAUCAGACACUUGCUGCCACAGUGAUAAAAGUAGUUUGCAUUAUCUCAUGGUGGCGAGAAGCCCCCCUAUUCCAUUGUUCAUGGUCCUUCUCAUGCUUUGCCCCAUUGCCUGUGCUGCUUGGGUUGCUUUGUACCUGGAAAUAGUGAAAGGAACCUUUAUUUAGGGACCCAAAGAAUCAUAUCCAUUGUCCCAGGUGCUCUGGAUCAACAUAAUUGCAAACCAGAGACUUUCCAGCUGAAGCAGGUGAUCAGUGGCUCUUGCAAACACCUUCAAGCUGAGUGUGAGGAAAGAAAAGAUCACAAGCCUCCUGCAGCACAUGAGACAGGAAGCCAACAGUCAAAAGCCGUAAAAUGCUGUUAAAGUGGCAAAUGGCUCUGAAUAACCCCAGUCUUUCUCUGAGCAAGGGCUGGACUCAGUUACUUCUGAAAGUCGCUCCAAGCUGCAAUAAUUCCAUGGUUCUUUAAUGUGCCAGCAAUUUCUACAAAGUAUGCAGAUUUUUGACAUUAAAAGCAAGGAUCACCUGUUAUGGCAUUUGACCACUUUUCUAUUCAAAUGAGAAUACCAAAGAAUUUCUGUGCAUUUUGCCCAGAGAGUUCUUGAGCACAACAAGAACAGAAACUUUCCAGUUAAGGUACCACACUGAGACUUAAGAGAUGGUACUUGUCUGUGUCACACCUGUGACACCUGCUCUGCAAAGCAACAAACUGCUGACCCAGAAGACCACAGCACACAUUUAAGUUGGCCUUGCCAUCUAGAGGCAUUAGUUGUGUGUCCACAAAUGUAUUUCUCUGCUUUGACUGCAGGGAAGGGACACAGAGAUAGGCAGGUACUGCUGUCUCUGCUAAACAAAAUGCAAUUUUUUCUGCCGGUGUUAGUGCUGCUAGGCAAAGUAUCAAGGAAACUACUGUGUUAAAAAGAAAAUGGAUAUAAAAUAAAACAUGAGUUUUUUAAAUUUGAGCCAUUUCUUCUCCCUGAAAUCACCUCCCUUUGCCUGACUGCACGUCACAUCCCAACCUGGAUGCUGAGUUUAGCUUUUGUGUACUGUGAAGCUGAUGGCAGCCCAAGCAUCAGCCUGAGACUCACCCUGCCAUCUAACUCCAGCAAUUUUCUUAUCUCCUUCCUAUGCCUUCUUCCUUAGAAGAAAAAUCUGCCUUCACAAAUCCCUUCCCACUUUCGAGACUUCACAUUGAUUAUGACCUCCUCUGUGACCCUGGUUCCUCCUCACCCUGGUCUUCACUUCAUGCCCACACUUUAACAAACCAAUGCAGGCCAAGGACAGCACAACCAGGGGAUGCCAUGGCUGCAUCCAGUCUGUGUCUGUCAUAUUAGAAUAAUCUGUUGUACACUGAGGGGUAGAUUUGAUUUCUUUUCCAAUGUGUUAUUUACAAU